rnacentral:lncRNA from 1 species
UACAGGUUGGAUUCUCGACUCUGGUGCAAUAGAUCAUAUGACUUAUGAUAAGACUUUGUUUCAAUAUAUGACAUCUCAUAUAAAGUGCAUAGCUACUACCAAUGGUACUAUUGCUGACACGCCCUGAGGGUGACGCAAGCCAUUUAAUGAAUGCAUAUGUUGGGAACAUGUAAAUAAUGCGUAUAAAUUUCAUUCAAACUGCAUAAAAUAAAAUACUAAUAUUCAACCCACAUCGUUGGAAAAGAACUACUAGGGUACGGUAUGAUGUUUAUGAAUUGUAGCAAGAUAAUAGAAUGUGACUAUUCAUUUCUGCAUGAAGAUAGUGAUCAUGCAUGACAUGUUCAGAGCAUACAUCUAAUUCAAAAUACAAUGGAAUGUGUUAUUACAAUGAUGUCAAAGCAGAGAUGAUGGCACAAUAUCACUGGUAG